CCUACGGGUGGCAGCAGUGAGGAAUAUUGGUCAAUGGACGAGAGUCUGAACCAGCCAAGUAGCGUGAAGGAUGACUGCCCUAUGGGUUGUAAACUUCUUUUAUAAAGGAAUAAAACGAGGCACGUGUGCCUUUUUGCAUGUACUUUAUGAAUAAGGAUCGGCUAACUCCUGGCCAGCAGCCGCGGUAAUACGGAGGAGCCGAGCGUUAUCCGGAUUUAUUGGGUUUAAAGGGAGCGUAGAUGGGUUGUUAAGUCAGUUGUGAAAGUUUGCGGCUCAACCGUAAAAUAGCAAUUGAUACUGGCAGUCUAGAGUACAGUUGAGGUAGGCGGAAUUCGUGGUGUAGCGGUGAAAUGCUUAGAUAUCACGAAGAACCCCGAUUGCGAAGGCAGCUUACUAAACUGUGACUGACAUUGAUGCUCGAAAGUGUGGGUAUCAAACAGGAUUAGAUACCCCGGUAGUC
rnacentral:rRNA from 1 species